rnacentral:rRNA from 1 species
CGCCUCUUGACCACUAUAAGAGGUCUAGCCUGCCCAGUGACCAAUUUAACGGCCGCGGUACCCUAACCGUGCGAAGGUAGCAUAAUCACUUGUUUCCUAAAUAGAGACUAGCAUCAACGGCAUCACGAAGACUAUACUGUCUUCCCCCUAAAAUCAAUGAAACUAAUCCCCUCGUGAAGAAGCGAGGAUAAAAAUAUAAGACGAGAAGACCCCAUGGAGCUUUAAACGAACUUUAAUUGCUCUUAAUCUUACCAUAAAAAACGAGCACUAAUAAAAGAUAGUUUUCGGUUGGGGUGACCACGGAGUAAAACAAAACCUCCACAGUGAAUGUAAUAAUACUAAUACAAGAACUACAAUUCUAAUAAUCAAAAAAUUGACACACUUGACCCAAACACUUGAUCAAUGAACCAAGUUACCCUGGGGAUAACAGCGCAAUCCAUUUUAAGAGCCCCUAUCGACAAAUGGGUUUACGACCUCGAUGUUGGAUCAGGGUAUCCUAGUGGUGCAGCCGCUACUAAUGGUUCGUUUGUUCAACGAUUAAAACCCU